AUCCGCACCAACAUUUUACUCUGAAGUCUACGCCAGACGCGCGCUACUGCCAUCGAAUCCCUACUCUUGUUACUGCUACUGCCUCACCAUCCCUACCAUGCCGAUUUACGAACCGUAAUAUAUAUGAAUACAAUACAUAUUAUUAAAUAUUUAUGUAUGAUAUUAAAAAAAGUGAAAAUUUUUAAUAUUUUUAAUAAUUUUUAAUCUAUUUUUAAAACAUAAUAUAUUUUCAAAUUAUGUAAAAAAUAAUUCCAUUAGAUAACUAUAUUCAUUGUAAAGUAUAUGAAUUAUUAUUUGUCAUAAUUAUUUAUUUGAUCAUAAACAAAUCCACCAAAGUCUUCUUUUUUUAGUUUUUUAAAAAAAAGUAAAAAAAAAUAAAUUAAUAAAUAAAUAUAUAAAAGAAUUGCAUCAAUAAAUCAAUUUAAUUAAAAACUUAAAACAUAAAAGGAUUAUAUAAAAUAGUAUGUUAUUGUUAUGUAUAGUAUUGUUAAUAUAAAUUCAUUUAUUAAAUAAAAUUUAAAAAAUAUAAAAAAUAAUAUGAUAUCUAAUAUAUAAAAAUAUAUAAUAAAUAUAAAAAAAUUUAUUAAAUAAUAUUGAAAUAACAUAUAUAUUAUAUAUAUUAUAUUUUACAUGUAAUAUUAUUAAAUUUAUUUUCAUUAAUGUUCUUUUAUGAAAAUUAAAAGAAAUAAAUUUGAUUGAUCAUCUGAGCAACGAAUGAGUCAUGUAAUUGUAGCAUCACUGACUAGCUGAUAAUUUUUAUCAACCGUAAUGCAAUUGAGGUUACCAGUCUAUAUACUACAUUAUCAGAAGAUAAAGACCAGUUUUGUUCCUAAUAUUAUUGAAUAUACAAUCUUAUGUUCAUUAAAUAAUUCAAAAUUACAAUCGAUAUAUACGAUAUACUGAUUGUCAUUCAUUCAUGUAUAUAUCAUUCAAUAAAAUAAUAUAUUAGAGAAUAUGUCAAUUAAAGAAAUAUUAUAUAAAUUUCUAUUGAGUAUAAUAAUUAUUAAGAUUGUACUAUUAAUAAUUUAUAUUAAUAAUUUUUUAAAUUAUUUAUAAUUUAAAAAUUAUUUAUAAUUUUUAUAAUUUUAUAUUUUUUAUAAUAUUUUUUUAUAAUAAUUUAUGAUUAAUAGAUAUUCUUUAGAUAUAUUUUGUAUUGAUUUUUUGUAAUAUAUGUAUGUUAUAAUUUUUAAUUCUCUUUGUAAAUAAUAAUUUAUUUACAAGGAUAUUGUUAUAUAUAUAUAUUUUUUUUUAAUAUAUUACUAUAUAUAUAUGUGUGUGUGUGUUUAUGAAAAUGUGUAUGAAUAUCUUUGAAAGGUGGAUUUUAGACUAUCAUCAAAAAAAUGAAAAAAUUUUACAUAUCUAUUAAAACUUAAUUAAUAAGUUUAUUUUAUUAAAUUAAAUAGAGAUAACUGACUUAAAUGAGAAUGCUCAACUGGAUGUAUAACUAUUAUGUCAUAAUAUUACUUGCGUAACAAAAUGAAAUCUCAACGAAAAUUCAAUGUAUCAGUACUCUUUUAAAUAAUAUAUAAAUAUUAAAUAAUGUUAAAUAAAUGUUUAAGUAAUAUAUAUAAUUCAAAUAUUUUUGAAUUUCGAUUAUAACUAGUAUGUAAUGUACAUAAUAAUGUACAUGUAAUAGAAUCAUGCCAUGCAUUUACAUCGAUUUAAAAAUGAAAAAUUGUUUAUACAUAGAUUUAUGAAAUAAAAAUUUUUUAUAAUAUUUAUUAUUUUAAUAUAUCUCAAACAGAAUGAUAAAAAUAAAUAUAAAUAAAAAAUAUCGAAUGUUAAUAAAAAAAAAAACAAUAAUGGAAUAUCUUCCACAAAUAACUACAUUCAAACCAUUAUAUCGGCAAAUAAGAAUUUUUUUUUUAUAAUAUCAUCACAAAUUAUUAUAUUAGUAAAUGAAAAUACUUUUCUUUUAAAUAAUAUUACAAACUAUUUAAUUUUGUAUGUAUUGAAAUUUAACAAACAGUAAUUACAACAAUUACACAGAUGUUAAUAUCAAUUAAUCAAUUUAUCAUAAAUUAUAUAAAUAGAUAUAAUGAUGGUUCAGAAUUUCAUGUUGAGUGAAUAGCCAUAAAUCAAUUUCAUUACUUUAAAUCACAACGCGACGACAAGUCUAUUGAUUUACUUUGUAAUUGUUAAUUAUAUCUUUAAGAAUGAUCAUUACUUUAGAAAACGGAUAUGUAAGUACGCACGUGCACGGACUUCAAGAUCAGUAUAUGAUAUCAUAAGCAUUGGUCACUUAUCGUGUUUUUCUCAUUCAAGCCUUACGUUAAAAAUAUUUCAUAUGCAAAUACAAUUAAAAUAUAAAUAAAAGUGAUACUUAAUAAAA